UCCCUAGUGGCUCAGAUGGUAAAGAAUCUGCCUGCAAUGCAGGAGACCUGGGUUCGAUCCCUGGAUUGGGAA
rnacentral:tRNA from 1 species